GUUUAAGGGUGUUCCUGGCACUGCAUUAAAAUUCCUCUUAGCAUGUUUAAUCCUGUAUGGACAGUCAGUGAUAAGAAUCAGACAAACAGGCGAAGCAAGCUGGCAGGGAGCAGUGGAAAUGGGGAGGGCUGAAACAUUGAAAGAUACACGAAGAAAAAAAAAAAAUGCACAACAGGAUCCAGUUCAAAACAGCUUUAUCAUCUCAAAUGCAGCAUCCCAUCGUAG